rnacentral:lncRNA from 10 species
GGGACAUAUUUAAGUACUAAUUUGGUAAGAAGGAGAUGUGGAUUUUGCUUUGUCAUUUUGUAUGGACUGACGGUCCAUUCUCUCGUUCACUUACUAGAUGUGAAAAGAAGAGAGACCUCUCCAACGGCUAGUGAACAAAUUCUCAUUAAGAUUGGAGUAUUUCAACAGCAGAUACCUGCAGAGUUUGCUCGGAGAAUACGACCAUCCCACAUCAAACAUCAAAGAAGCACUGUACUUGUUUGUGAAAAGCUUGAGAGAAAAUGUGCCAUUGAGUUGGCAGAAGCAGGCCAAGGUCAGUUAAUAUACACAGCAUCUAGUACAUCUUUCCUGUAAGUGUGUGUGUGUGUGUGUGUGCGCGCAUGUAUGUGCUGUUUCAAUCUGUGUAAAGAAGUAUCACAGAAAAAUUGCAGAAUAAAGUCCAUUCCCUUUAAAAGGUAGUUUUCUUUCCCUUGCAUUACCUCUUAGAAAAACAUAAAAGAACUAAAAUAAAAUUGAAGUUAUUUGUGUGAGUCCCUCAGGCUGCAUUGUUUAAUAUGGAAUAGUGAACAGAGCUUAAUGAAAUAAAUUUUGUCUAUGAACCUAUUCACUUCUAAAAGUUUUUAAAAUAUUAUCUCCCAGGAAGUACAUGUUUGUAUUUUUAUUUUAUUUAAAGACGCAUGUUAAGUGCAAUAAUUUAUCAUUGGCUAUUUAUUGUUUAUCAAGAACUGAAUUUAGUGUUAAAAGGUAUUUAGUUGGUUUUUGCUGGAGAGAAUCAAUAGAGAAAAAAAUAUAAGUUGGGGGUUUGCUGGCUGUAAGUCCGUAAACAAUUGUUAAAAGAGAGUAGUAGAGAGAUCUUGAAAAGGGAAAACAUAAAAAGGGAAAACUAAUAGAGGAAGAAAAGAAUAUUGUUAUAAAUAAUUUUUUACUAUGUAUCGUGUUUGAGUAGGAAUUUUGUGUUUAUCUGCAUCAUGAGGUUUUUUUUGGGUGAGGAUCCUUCUGAUUAAAUUUUACAGAAUUUUAAAUAAAUUCUUCAAGCUUUGCUUAUUUUAACUGGUAUGAAGUAACUGUAGUUGCAUAUUUCUCCCAGGACAAAAGAAUUAACUAUAGUAACUGGUCAUUGAAUACAUCUUUCUCAAUCAUUCAGUCCUUGAUUUGAGAGGCAUUUCAUUGAUAGAUUGCUCAUUUCUCUGUACAACAUCCAGGAAUCGAGGCCUAAAAGUUUAACUCUACUUUAAUAGUUCGUAAUUGGCUAGAACAUUGUAGUCGUUAAAAUGAUGCAGACGUGCAGUAUCUAUAGAUAUGAAACUGUAUCUGUGGUACACUGUUGGGUGGGAUAAGGAGCUUGAAUAAUAGAACGUAUAGCUUGAUCAUUUUUGUAGAAAAUAUAAUUUCUAUACCUGUAUCGACAUCUGUGCAUAGAAAAUUCUGGCAAUGCAUACACCAAGAGUUAAUUGCAGUUUUAUCUAGGUGAUAAGAUUAUUUGACUUCUGUAUUAUUCUCCAUAGUUUUCUAUAUUUUUAGUAGCAUGUAUCUGUUAAUUUCAUAGCCAGAAAAAAAUAUGAAGGCAUUCAGAACAUGAAACGAAAGAAUUAAAAUUAAAACAGAUUGUAAGUUUAAAAUGAGC